rnacentral:lncRNA from 1 species
UAGGGCUUAGCAACAAUUGUGUGUUAAUCAUGCUGGUGCAUUUUAUUUUUGAGAUGAGUGAUUUUGAACAAGCUACUAACUGAAUUUAAAUGCUUUUAAAAAUGUUUAUAAUUGGUUUUGAAACCAGAAAAGAAAAGAAAAAAAAAGGAAAACCUCCCUGGAAUAACCAGGCCGCAGCCCAGAAACCCCCCGCGCGCCUCCUCCCCCUCCGGCCUGCUUGCGCGGCCCACCAGGCCCCAGGCCGACCCGCGCGUUUUCCCUCUCUCUCUCUGUGUGGAUGACGAGCGGGCCCAUUCUCUUCUCCCACCGCCAGCCGGGCCCCGCAUGUCAGCGCUCCAAUCCUCUUCCUCGAGCGUCUUCGAGCCGGACUCGGUGGAAAUCACCGAAUCAAUCCCGUGAUACCCGGAUCGAUUUCCGUGCGCCGCAAGCCCCUAUAAAGGUCUUAGACGUCGGUCGCGCUCCGUUGCUUCAAACCCGCCGCGAAACCAAGCCCUAGACGCCGCUCUUCGCCGAGUUCGAGAUCCCGCCGAGCUUGGAGUCGAACUGCCACCGCCGCGCGCUCCUCCUAUUCCCUUUUGGACCGAACCGAGGACGCAGUCGACUUCGCGGUGAGCUGCUCGUCAUCCCGGAGUUUUUCUUUCUCGAAACGGUGCUCGGAAACGGGAAGUCACUGUGCGCCGACGAGCUCCGGGUGGCGCCCAUGGCGCGCCACCGUGCCGGAGCUGGAAAUCGGCCGGGCUGUGCUGAAAGACGUUUUCAGAUAUUUACAAAACUGCCAUUGAAUUAGUUUUGGCCAUAAAAUGGUCAUUUUAACUCCGUUUUUGUCCAUUCAAAUUGCGUUAGGUUCGUAAUUACAUGCUCUACAUGUUAGAAAUAUUAGUUUACUGUUUUGAAACUUUUUAUUUCUGCAGUAGCAUUUAAUUAAUUAUUUACCUAUAGGAAAUCUUAGAAAAUUCAUAUCUUCUACGUUUUAAUUCCGAUUUUCGUGAACUUUACGUUUGUAUGAUCGUAGCGCUGCGUAGAAUAUUUUUUAUAAACUUUUAUCUUUUAUUUACCACUGUUUGGUGUAUUGUUCUAAUUAUAUCUUGUUUGCUUCGUGUAUGAUUGUCUACAUUGGAUUGCGUGUUGUUGAUUGAUGAUCGGGUAUAGACGGUGAGCGAUACGUUGGUGAGCAAGAUCAAGUUUUUGAAGACCAGCAGGCUCAGGAGAGUUUUGAUCAAGGCAAGUAUAACUUGGGACCAUCCUUGUUACCUAUUCACUUAUAACUACAUAUAUAUAUCAUAUGCAUGCUAUCACCUUGUCGACCUUAGCAAAAUCAUAGAUGAUUGUUACCUGGAUUCCUUGUUACCUACUUGAUAUGCAUUUGGUGUAGAUGUGCUAGUGCUUGAUAUAAUCCAUGAUCUUGUAAGAUGAUUAAUAGAUAUGCAAUGAACAUAAAAGAAUGACAAAUAACUGUAUGAGAUCUUGUCUGUAAGUGAUCACCGGGACAACAGUGCAACCAUGAGGGCUAUAAUGGCUCUGGCUUUAGCUCAGUAUGAAGAACUUUUCUAGCUUGUUAGCGGUUACCCGAAAGGGCGGAGGGGCUGAACCGUUUUGGGUAUAGUGCGAGCCCCUGUCCCUAUGUGUAUAGGCUGCGCGUCAUUGUGCCAUUCGGAAGGGGGGUAUCUAUAUCUGCGCGCAAAGGAAACCUUGCGGCCCUAACAUGUUAGACGAACUUUUGAAAGGCUUCAUAGUGAUCCCUGCCGACCUUCCUUGGUAGUGGGUUAAGAGGUCGACGGGCCUCGGGCGAAAGGGUAAAUCAUGACUCAUGGGUAAAGAUGUACAACCUCUGCAGAGUGUAAAACUGGUAUACUAGCCGUGCUCACGGUUAUGAGCGGCCUUGGGGGUUCUUGCUGCGCCGACGAUGAGCUUAUUAAGUUGUUAUGUUCAUUUGAUUAUCGUUUAUGCUAUGAAUUAAUUAUGCUUACACUUGAUCAUGGAAUUAAAGGAAUAUUUAUGUUACCUUGACAAUUGCUCAUUAAUUAUGAACAUGCUAUCCACCAUUAAAAGCUAAAUGCAGUCAAACCAGUGUCAGCUAUUUGAGCCUCAUGAACCCCUGGUUAUACUUGUUGAGUACGAUAUGUGCUCACUCUUGCAAUUUCCCAACACCUCAGGGUAUGAUAAUGAAGAUGACUGGAAUGAGGAUUAUCGGUAUGAGUACUAGGUUUGGAGUCAACCAGUCAACAGUGUCCCUGUGUGGAGCUUCCGUCGAGAGCGUUGUUUACUUUAUGCUAUCAUUUUUGUAUGAGACUAUGUGAUUCAAUAUAUAUUCCGCUAUGUAAUAAACACUGCAAUGGUACAUUUGAGAUUUGUCUACUUAUGUGUGCGACUGUUUCUGGGGCACAUAUGAGUCUUUUAUGCAUCCUAUUUUGUUCUUAAAAUAUGGGUGUGACAAAUUGGUAUCAGAGCUUUGUUGACUGUCGGACGCAAGCCUAGUUAGAAAUUGGCCGUCAUAAGGUUUUGAAAUUGCUAUAAAAUCCUUGUUCUAUAAACCUUGAUAUUUUCUUCUACACUAUAUCCUAUUCAUCUUCACCUUGUUGCUUAUCUUAAAGACUUGUUCUCAUCCCCACUCCUUGCUUUGAAUAUGCUUUUAGAACCUUCUCUUACCACCUGCUUACAUAGUUGAAAGAGAAUUUUAGGAAUCUUUGCCCUUAAUAGGAAGAGAACGAUAGUACCGCAAGUUGAGUUAAUGCUUGAAAUGUGAACCUUUGAUGCUUGGUUUGGUUUGUUAUUAUGCUUAUGCUUGAUUUGGAUCUUUGUAAUGAGUGCAAUGAUCUUGUGGAUUUCCUCUACAAUUUCAUUUAGUUUAUAGGCUUAAGGCAUAAGGAUUAAUGAACUAAAUAGUUGGGGUUGGUUAAAAUUCUGUUUCUGUCCUUUGCUGUUUUAUGGAGCAGUCUGCAAUGAAUCUGGUACAUCUCAAAAUCUGUUCAUGCAAUGUCCAUCAAAUUUUUCUGGGAACAAGUAGACUUCCAUAUCUUUCCAAUGCCGCAAGAAUGACCAUAUCAUCGAUUAUGAGCUGAGAGUUAUGACUGUUUCAAGUUGAGGUUUCUGCGCAGUCUGGAAUUCUGGAACAGUUUCGGUUGUACCCAGUUUUUGGUUAACCUCACGUUGGAAUCUGGUAAUAUGAUCUAAAUGAAAGUUGUAGACAAUUUCUUUAUCUUUCCAACGGUGUACAGCAUGUAUCCUUUUGAAUUCUGGAACGCGAGAUAUUACCGAAUUAUCCUACUCAUGAUCUAGAUUUGGCAGCUGUGGUUCAUGCAUUGAAGAUUUGGAGACACUAUUUGAUUGGGCAUAAGAGUGACAUAUACACUGAUCAUAAGAGUUUGAAGUAUAUCUUCACCCAGACCGACUUGAACUUGAGGCAACGAAGAUGGUUGGAACUGAUAAAGGAUUAUGAUUUGGAAGUGCAUUAUCAUCCUGGGAAGGCGAACGUCGUAGCCGAUGCACUUAGCAGAAAGAAACAUGCUAAUGAGCUUCGUGCGACACCUGAAUCUGAAGAGUUGUGUGCUGAAUUUGCAUAUUUGAACUUGGGAAUCGUAGUAAACGCUAUGGAGAUUGAGGUCACUCCUACUCUAGAGGAAGAGAUAUUGAAAGGACAGUUGGAAGAUGAGAAACUGAAGAAGAUAGCCCGGAAUGUGGUACUAGGCAAAGCACCAGGAUUCAGAAUAGAUGACAAGGGUGUACUAUGGUUUGGAAAAAGGAUAUGUGUUCCUGAAGUGAAGGCUAUUCGUGAUAUGAUUCUGAGAGUUGCUCAGUCUCGUCAGAAAAGUUAUGCGGAUACACGUAGGAGAGAACUAGCUUUCGAGGAAGGUGAUUAUGUCUAUCUAAAAGUGUCACCUAUGCGGAGUGUGAAGAGGUUUAAUAUGAAGGGAAAGCUAGCUCCAAGGUAUGUUGGUCCGUUUAAAGUUUUGCAAAGGUGUGGAGAAGUAGCAUAUCAGUUGGAGUUGCCUGAAAGUUUAUCUGGUGUGCAUGAUGUGUUCCAUGUGUCACAACUUAAGAAGUGUUUGCGUGUACCUGAGGAGCAAAUACCAUUGGAAGAGCUUUCUGUUAAAGGUGAUCUCACUUAUGAAGAGUAUCCAGUCAGAAUACUAGAGACAGCUGAGAGAGUCACCAGAAGUCGGGUUAUUAGAAUGUGCAAAGUGCAGUGGAAUCGGUAUUCGGAAGCAGAUGCAACUUGGGAAAGAGAGGAUGAUCUGAGAAAAUCAUAUUCAUAUUUGUUUGAGUAAGUUCUGCUCAAUCUCGAGGACGAGAUUCUUUUAAGGGGGUAGGUUUGUAACACCCAAAAAUUUGCAACCUUUGAAAUAGGUGAAAAAUGAUUUAAUUUUGUAUUUUUGUGCUCAUGAGAAUAUAGGGAGAAUAAUAUUUUUUCUUUAAAAUAAAAUUUAUUAUAGGGCUUAGCAACAAUUGUGUGUUAAUCAUGCUGGUGCAUUUUAUUUUUGAGAUGAGUGAUUUUGAACAAGCUACUAACUGAAUUUAAAUGCUUUUAAAAAUGUUUAUAAUUGGUUUUGAAACCAGAAAAGAAAAGAAAAAAAAAAGGAAAACCUCCCUGGAAUAACCAGGCCGCAGCCCAGAAACCCCCCGCGCGCCUCCUCCCCCUCCGGCCUGCUUGCGCGGCCCACCAGGCCCCAGGCCGACCCGCGCGUUUUCCCUCUCUCUCUCUGUGUGGAUGACGAGCGGGCCCAUUCUCUUCUCCCACCGCCAGCCGGGCCCCGCAUGUCAGCGCUCCAAUCCUCUUCCUCGAGCGUCUUCGAGCCGGACUCGGUGGAAAUCACCGAAUCAAUCCCGUGAUACCCGGAUCGAUUUCCGUGCGCCGCAAGCCCCUAUAAAGGUCUUAGACGUCGGUCGCGCUCCGUUGCUUCAAACCCGCCGCGAAACCAAGCCCUAGACGCCGCUCUUCGCCGAGUUCGAGAUCCCGCCG